rnacentral:sRNA from 1 species
UUUUCGCCCUUUAGACUCUAUUAAAAAAAAAAAAAAAUAGAUGAAUUGGAACGAUACAGAGAAGAAAAACAUUGCUAGCUCCUGCACAAGGAUGACAUGCAUAAUCGAUAAAUAAUCCCAAAUCCG